rnacentral:lncRNA from 1 species
AGUAGCCAUGGUGCUGUAAGUUCAAGCUGUGCUCGUCUUCUCACAGGAUACUGCACGUGGGGCUGAAGAUUUUCCGACCACCAGCGAACAUAGCGCGCUAUCAGAUGAUCAAACACAAGAAACGGAAACCCACGUCCUGGGGCAUCAGGCACAAGCUGCUGGCCACGGCAGUAAAGCGAUACCAGCUGGACGGCCUGAACAGCGUCCAGUACUCGCUCGUCUUCAUCCACUCGGACCCACUGUACACCCACAUCAUGGUGGACAUCGGAAAACCAGAUAUUCGCGUCGAGCGGUAGGACUGGUUGCUGGGGGAAACAGGUGGGGUGGGUGGGAGGGCGUGCUGGCUGCUGCUGCAGGACAAGCAAGCACCACGUGUCGACACGAGCUGCCUUUUGAGCCGGAGAACCAGCGUCAGCACUCUGACGCCCUGCGCGACAACUGUUGUCUACUGGCGUGAUUCGGUGCCGAGCGACAAGCGAGAGGCGAACCUAUUUCCCUUUAUGCCAAGUGUGUGAUGUAACACCAAGCCUGUGAUGUAACAGCAAGAUGUGCAAACCUGUGUGGUGCCACACCAAGCGUGCGUCAUGUGACACCGAGCCUUUGUGUGGUGCGGGUGCGAGCAGGACCCCAGCACCAUCAUGCAGUGCGUGUAGCUGGCGCCUCGGUCGGCCGCGCGUUUGCGCAGGUGCGUGGGUUCAGUGAUGUCACAUCCGGCGUAUCUGUGUGUCAGUGAAGCCUACAAUUUCUGGUGCUUUUUUUGGUGUGAAUGUCUCAGCAAGUCGGGAUGAGUGUUUGUAAUUUAUGAUAGACAUCAUGAACACUGCGUCAGCUGGAGACCACGCCUGUGAACUUUGCAUUUAUUGGUUUGUGUAGAUGCAGUGUAGAACACAGUUGUUCCAUACACAUUUUCUAAAGUAGACAAGAUGUACUCUACCGCUGCCUGUUUUUAGCCAUAAUUAUCUGAUAAUGACGUGUAUCUGUGGCCACAGCCAUGUGGCAGGUGAUUUUCUCUGGUUGUUGUGUGCUUGUACGGGUGCCGCAGGAUAGUCAUAUCACGGUUUAGUCCCUUUACGACUGUAGACGAUGGUGACAAAGUGAAGUGUGCAGUCUACUGUUUAGUAUUCAACAAAAGGUCCUGUGAAGGGCUUGCAUGCAUAUUUAGCGCAUAAUGAGUCUGCAUUUUAUCUCAUUGGCAUAAACCACACGGACAGCGAGGAGGAUGACAGUGACAUGCCCAGAUGUCACCGGCACCACUAAGGUAUGACGGAGGGUGACUGAUCGGAGGCCUGACCUUGCAAGCCUGCUAAACGUGUGUACAGAGAAUGGUGCUAGCCAGGCAGUCAGCUACAACUAGGUAAUGAUAAUAACAACAAUAAUAUUUUAACUGACUGCUUUAAUCAUCCAAUCAACGCUUAGCAAUGUCCUGUGUACUCAGACCGUGUUGGCUGUCACCUGUAAGUCCAGUUUCCUCUAAUGAUGACGUCAUGUCAUCACUGGGCUGUCCUCAAUCGUCGAUGAUGAGAUGGAGUGUGGGAUGGGUAAGGGAGGGUCAGGAACGAGCAAACUUAACUGCAGUUGGUUUGUUCUUAGUAUCGAGCUCUUCCACCAAGUAAAUCCACAAGAUGAGCAUUAUUACUUGCUGACUGUCGAGUGCAGUUGUACUGUGGUCACAGCUGCCCGCAGCCUGCAAAGUCUUCGUUGUACUGUCUGUCUGCGUUGUAUCUUGUUUGUUUACAACUCUCGGUGUGUGGGCCGUGGUGUUGUUGGCACUGCUAGUCUCUGUACGUCCUAAGGCACGUGAAUGUAUCGUGCCCUGCAUCACGUGACGGAGUUCGCUUCCCAUUUUUUAUGAGUAUUCCUUGGGAAUAUUUGUAUCAGAUUUAGAAAGGAGUAUGCAUGUUCUGGGAGCCUUCACCCCUUACCCCAACUCAGGUCAGGAUUAUGAGUUUGAGAUGGAAGAGUGGGGAAGGGAUAGGUAGCAAAAGAUUUUUAAGGAGGAGGUUCUGUCAGACGUAGUAAUCGAAGGGCUGACGAUUAAACUUUCUAAAGCUAAGGACAGAAAAAGGUCGUUAAAAGUUUGCUUGCCAAGAGGUUAGUGGAUCAUUUUCUCCAGUUUUAUGGGUACUUGUGGUAAUUAAGACACAUAAUGGGACACACCCAGUAGCUGUUAUAGCUUCUCAUAAAACUUUCGAUGUGAUAGUAAACGUUCAGUGGAUACGAGUUUAGUGAGACAAGGGACAGAGGCAACAACUGCACUUGGCGGUUGUGGCUGUAGUGACAUGAACUGCACUCACGCCGAUGGUCACAAUGAUGUGUUCAGCAGCAGUCGCCAUAGGCCUCUGGCCCCAUAUUGUUUGACUUUGCUACAUGAUGGAUUUCAUCACUAGCAUAUUCUUCUAGUUUUUAACUGUUGUAUAAUGAUCCCAGCAAGUGGGGCUAAAGCUGUGCGAGUUGUUGCUAAACUCGAGGCAAGCAUUUGUUGUGACUCAGGCUUGAUGUCUGUCAGCUCUGCUCAUACUGCAGUCAUGAUCCUAGUGGACCCAUCACCAUUGUUCUCUCUCUCCCACUUUAUCUGUUUUAGAGACAAUUUGUAUCACGUGUUACUUCCUGAAUCACAACAGCAACAAUAAAAUCACCACUUUCACCCAUUUUUCUGACAAGCACUUGCCUCAUUCCUGCUCAAUGUACGAGCACUUCAGGCCGAGCCCCAACUUCCCGAGUUUUUAAUAUUUUUUCCCAGUACAUUAGUUGUGAAUAACAACUGAACAGAUUGUCCCAACAGUUAAUGCUCUAAAGUACAUAAUGGGUUGAAUUGUGUGUCAGUCACAUCACAUUUAAUUGAAAGAAUCUACUGUCUGGUAUGCUCGCUAUUUGUAUUAACUAUGCUAACUCUGCUUUCACGGAUGGGGAGGCGAUGUCUAGUGAUAAUAUUGUUCCACAGUGCACUUGACACAAUGGUGGUGUCGCUGUAGAGGUGGUAAACAGUGAGAUCAGGCUAGUGGUAUCAAAGCUAAAGACACAGUGGCGAGUGCUGCUGAUCAAACGACGACAAUAUGGGAAGCAUGCGAGGGUUGCCAGCCUCCAGCCUCAACAUUAGUCAAUGCCAAUAAUGUAGGAUCAGAUGUCGCUACACUCCAGAGACGUAGUGAGCUCUCGGAGAAGCUGGUGCUACAAGAUGGGGUAAUGGAAAAGGUGGAACAAGGAUGUUUUUGUGUAUAUUUAUAUAAACACAGUCCUUGGGCAGAGCAAGUAUAUAGGGUCCUCGGGCGGAGCAAGCAGAUGGUGCACUACUUUUGGUGCCAUUGUUGAGCACAGAGGUGCAAACAUUUGUAUUUCUAAUUAUGUCGGUGACAACAUCUGGGGUAAAGCCUAUUGUUGUGCUCUCAGUUCUGUCUCGUCACUGUCAGGUAGGAUUAGUUGAAAACAGUGCCUGGAGUUGUCCAGGAUCUCCGUGCCCAGACUGGUAUGUUCAUGGGAGCCAAGUAAUCCACCAGCGCCAAUCCUACCAUGCAUGUAGCCAGAAAACACCACGGUCCUGCCUGUGUCAAGCUCGUUGCUUGAGAUUUUUUCACAAUGGUGAGAGCGUAGGACUGUGCAGUACGAGUAGCAGCUCUUGUCACGAGGUCUUGAGUGACUGGAGUCUGUGAUGCUGCUCACGACUUGCAUAACCUGAACCAGUGAGUACCACAACAGCUUUUACCGACCAGGAAAAUUUCAGCACCGUGCUCUAAAAGAGGUCUUCAACAACGUUGCUGGGAAUAAUCCAUAUACCCUUAUAUGCCCUUGUAUACAACUUUCCACGUGGAAGGGCUGCUCUUAAAAAUUACUUUCUCUGUUUGUUCGGGGCUUUUUUGUUGUUGUUUUCUUUACUCCAGCAGCACAUAAUAAUAAAAGUCAGUGGUACUCCAGACGUUGUGGAUUCAGACCAACGCCAACAGAAGCAAGAAUCUCUAUGACAAGCUCGCAGUUUAUUUGGUGGUGGAAACGGUGAUAAUUUAUGUAGGUGGCCCUAUUUUCUCUAAAUGGUAAACUACAUUUCUCUUCGUGGAGUUUGUUGUGACAUUUUGCACAGUAUGCCAUCCCAAUACCACGAAUAGUCAAUGGUACUCAUGUUAAUAGUACUGAGUUAUUCUAUUUUCUUGAAAACUAAUAGGGGAAAGGCCCACGGGAUUAUAAGUCUAGUCUGCUUAAAAAAAACAAUCCAUCUAGUCCCUUUCACUGUUUGGUGCGCAUGCAUAAUGCAACAGUUGAUUUUACAGGUAAAAUUUUCAAUUUUCACACACAAUUUUCAAUAGAACUUCUAUAGAAUGCAAUUUCUAUUGAAAGAAAAUGUAUAUUUACCUCUAGAAUCUGAACGUCUUUGGGCAGAGCAGGGCAAAUGAGUAUGAAAGUGGGCGUGGCUGUUGCCUGGCAUAUUUGACAAAGUCACCUAACCAUUCUUAGCUUAUGUAUAGAACAGUCAGCACACAGCUUUAAACAGUACUGUGAUGAAAAUGGCCAACACCUUUAAAGCAUAAGCACACUCUUUCAGUCAAUGUUGUGUGGGUUCCACUACUUCAAUCAAAUUAUGCUUUUAUUUAGACGCAUGUUCAGUAGAAACUAAUCAUGGUGAAACAAGUGUACACUGUGCAGCAAGCAUGAAGUUUCAUGGAAUGCCAUGUCAAUAUGCAAGGCCUUUCAUUUUAACUUAUUGUUUUGUAUCUUCUACACUAAUGUUCUGUGAUGCUUUACUCAGAGAAUCCUUACCUGCAAUAUUGUUAACGUUUGUUCCUUUUUUCUUUAUUAGUGAUGAUAUGAAAUCUGUUAAAGGAUCUAUGCGAAAAUAUACUUUAAUCAGAUCUGUGUUCGCAUGACCACUGCCCUUUGUGAUGUUUUUGAAAAUCAGAUGUCGGUCCUUCUAACACGAAACUGAUGAAUAUUUUCUGUAUAGGGAGUGACUGUGCCCACAGCUAUGUGCAAAUAAAGAUAUGCCAUAGUU